rnacentral:rRNA from 1 species
UGGGGAAUUUUGCACAAUGGGCGAAAGCCUGACGCAGCAACGCCGCGUGGGGGAUGAAGGCCUUCGGGUUGUAAACCCCUUCAGUCAGGAGCGAACAUGACGGUACCUGCAGAAGAAGCCCGCCGAACUACGUGCCAGCAGCCGCGGUAAUACGUAGGGGCGAAGCGUUGUCCGGAUUUAUUGGGCGUAAAGAGCUCGUAGGCGGCUUGGCAAGUCGGGUGUGAAAACUUCAGGCUCAACCUGGAGAUGGCACUCGAUACUGCUAUGGCUAGAGUCCGGUAGGGGACCACGGAAUUCCUGGUGUAGCGGUGAAAUGCGCAGAUAUCAGGAGGAACACCGGUGGCGAAGGCGGU